AACGAACGCUGGCGGCAUGCCUAACACAUGCAAGUCGAACGAGACCUUCGGGUCUAGUGGCGCACGGGUGCGUAACGCGUGGGAACCUGCCCUUAGGUUCGGAAUAACUCCCCGACAGGGGUGCUAAUACCGGAUAAUGUCUUCGGACCAAAGAUUUAUCGCCUUUGGAUGGGCCCGCGUUGGAUUAGCUAGUUGGUAGGGUAAAAGCCUACCAAGGCGCCGAUCCAUAGCUGGUCUGAGAGGAUGAUCAGCCACACUGGGACUGAGACACGGCCCAGACUCCUACGGGAGGCAGCAGUGGGGAAUAUUGGACAAUGGGCGAAAGCCUGAUCCAGCAAUGCCGCGUGAGUGAUGAAGGCCUUAGGGUUGUAAAGCUCUUUUACCCGGGAUGAUAAUGACAGUACCGGGAGAAUAAGCUCCGGCUAACUCCGUG
rnacentral:rRNA from 1 species